CCAAUAGCGUAUAUUAAAGUUGUUGCAGUUAAAAAGCUCGUAGUUGAAUUUCGGGAUCAGUACGCUGGUCGUGCCUUCGGUGUGCACUGGUGUCACUGGUUCCUCCCUUCUGAAGAACCGUCAUGCCAUUCAGUUGGUGUGGCGGGGAAUCAGGACUGUUACUUUGAAAAAAUUAGAGUGUUUAAAGCAGGCUCGCGCUUGAAUACAUUAGCAUGGAAUA
rnacentral:rRNA from 1 species